rnacentral:rRNA from 1 species
AUACGGAGGAUUCGAGCGUUAUCCGGAUUUAUUGGGUUUAAAGGGUGCGUAGGCGGGCUAAUAAGUCGGUGGUGAAAUCACUCAGCUUAACUGAGUAACUGCCAUUGAUACUGUUAGUCUAGAAUAUAAAUGGUGCAGGCGGAAUGAAUCAUGUAGAGGUGACAUUCAUAGAUAUGAUUCAGAACACCGAUCGCGAAGGCAGCUUGCAAAGAUAUCAUUGACGCUGAGGCACGAAAGCGUGGGUAGC